rnacentral:lncRNA from 1 species
UAGCUACAGGUUUGACCGUUUCCCAGUUUGAAUUAGUCAGAGCGCCAGCUGCCGACUGCAAGGCCAGCUAAAUGUUUCAGCUUCAGUCAAUCACGUCCGCAGAUUCUAAAACAUUUGGAGCCAAUCACGUUCGCACAGUCGAAAACAUUUGUCCAAUCACGGCAGAAAUCCUGGAGAGCGACGUCAGGCACACAUUGCAGGCCUUACGCUAGACCUGAGGGGGCGGGUAAUUCAAAGAGUGAAGCUAGCCGGAUGCUUAAGGAAUCAACCGAGGCAGAUUAUCGACAUGGUGUCAAACCCCCGUAUCGGGGUGGAGUCGUUGCUAGUGACGGUCAUCAGAAAAGCGCCAGCCCAGCAGAAGGCAGGGAGAGCCAGAGUCUGGCCGGGGAAGUGCUUCAGACUCUAGACAGAGAAGGCCUACAAGACUAUAAAUGCAGUUGGAAAUUCCUCGUGGGGGAGAGCUGCGCGUAAUCGGAGUGCUACUUGGGAGCGUUCCUGGUGGACGGACCAGCGCAGAACCGUCUCCACGCUUGAAAGUGACAAAGCGGGUCCCUGCCACACUGGCCGGUAGCGACUUGCUGUCUGGAUUGUAUACUGGAUUGGGAUGACUCCUCUUUGGUGUAGGGUUGAUCUAUUGCAGUGUUUUUUUUUCUGUGGAUUCUAUAUGUGGGGCGUGGUUUAAGUAUUGCAAACUGAUAAUACCUUUUGGGGAGAAGGCAUGUAUCUUGCUUUUGUGUGGACAUUGUGUGGGGGU